UAUUUCUCAGUCUCUGGGGUUUGUGGCUCUGAGGGGUGCAGUUGUUUGUGUGACCAAGGCUUUUUGCUGACGUGGUGGAAGAUGGGUGAGUGAAACCUUGAAGUUAAGAAUUCAAGCUUGAGCCAUGACUGGCACCAGCUCCAGUAAAGGACCAUUCCCAGCGUGCCAUGUGGGGAAUGUGAAAAGACAUUUCUGUAGAUUUCUUCUAAGCUGAAGUGAGGCAGCAAUCCCCACAGUCAGUUCAUACAGCACAUUAGCUUCUCAAAAGUCUCUUAGCCCUGCAGCAAGCUUUCUACUUACACACAUUUUUCAUUGUUUUAAAGGGUAAAUAAUGCUUUUCUGGACCGACUCCAAGGCAAAAGUCAACCAGGUGGCCUCCAGCAGUCUAGAGGCUAUUGGAAUACGAAUAGUGGUAACAGCUGGGGUAUAUGAGAAAUAUUAAUUUCUACCUGGUCUUCAUCAACUGACCUGGAAAAAACCUCCUGAGAUGCUUUUCCUUAAUGUAAUUUUGUUCAGCCUCACUGUUUUUUACCUUAGCUUCAACUGCCUACCCACUCAACUGAGCAGUUAGGGAUGGUCAAUUUCUCUGUCAUUAGUUAUGCAUGUUUGCAGGCUCUGAUUACUAAACUCAUUUAAUCUCUACUGCCUGAAAAAUGUUACAUUAUUUUUAUAAUUGGUUUUGCCUCUUAUUAGAAUCAUUAGAACAAUGUUAAUAAGAUAGAAAAAGAUGGAAUCACUUGAUAGUUUCAGGUUAGCGAGAAUGCUGGGCGCUACAGGCUUCUUUAUAUAAGCAACUAUUUCUAAGCUAAUUCUCAGAUCAGAUUUGGGGAAGCUUUGGGGUCUUUUAGGUUUUUAUCCCUACUUUCUUAAUCUAGGCAACAAAUAUAACCAAAAGAAAAGUAUUGUAUACUCUAUUAUAUGUGCUGCCGAAGCGAGCACAAGAAAAGUAUUGUAUACUCUAUUAAAAUUAUAAAUAAAUUUUGAACUGCU
rnacentral:lncRNA from 1 species